AAACCAUGGUUGGGGCACUUCCUCAGAAGGUCCUUGAAUCUUUCGCAGGCUUCAAAAACGGUCUCAGAAUCACCUUGUCUAAAUGCUGAAAUCUUUUGGAUUAGUUG